GGUGAGGAAACGGCUCUAAGGGCAGACGCCGCUUGUGAGGUUAUUCUCAUUUUUAAGUGACGGGAUUGAAACAAAUUUUAGAUGGAAAUCAAAUAAUUAUAAGGAAAUCAAACGUCAGCUAAUACCAUCUACAAAAUUUGAUAAUCAAAAUUAAACAUCUCUUUGGACUUCUUCGCAUAACAGAAGUGGAUAUUCCGGCGUACCUGCCUUUAUUUCAAUUCCGUCACUUAGUUAUUUAGUCAUGCAACUUGACUCUAUCACGUUAAUUAUGUACUAGUACCAGAUUGUUAGCAACUCGGGUGUGGAUUACCCCUAGAGGUUGAUGCUUCUGUUUGGAGAUACCAUUACCUGUAGGACAAUACCAUCUUUCCAGUAGGACUUACUCACCACAGCAGCCAACUAGUUUUUGCCGUGCCAAAAGGACCUUCCUAAGGACUUCAACAUUUUUUUUAAUAGGCGUUGUGUUAAGAUAAGUUUGUUUACCUUUUUAUUUACUUUUGAUUACUAUGUAUUUGCUACUGUGUAAACUUUUCGUAUGCAUACGAGGAAGUAAACUACAAUGGGUACAUAUUUUCGUGAUAGAUAGGGUUUUAGGUCGUUGUUUUUUUUCUCUUUGAUUCAAUAUAAGUAGUAGUUUGUUCAAAUAAAUAAAAUCAGGUAUUGUUUAAUAAUCAUUAUAAAUAAGUGCAUCUUAAAAUCUAAUAUGGAAUCGGGUUGUAAAAAUUUCGUCGAGGGUUUUAAAUAGGGAAUAUGUCUGGUAGGUUUGGUUUUUAAAUAGAAUAUAAAGAGUCACUGACCAACUCAUUUAUAUAGACCUUUUUGCUAUUCCAACGGACUUUGAUUUUGGAUUUUGUGAUAAAUACCUUUACUUAGCGCAGUGUGUAGUGGUUCAUUGCACGUUAGUGGCUUUUUGGUCCUGUUUGACCGUUACACCACCCACUACCACUGUUAUUGUGUUUAUAGAGAGUUAUAUGUAACUUGUAAUAUAUAUAACUUAUUUAUUAUUAAUAUAUUUGUAAGUAU